rnacentral:rRNA from 1 species
GAUGAACGCUAGCGGCAGGCUUAAUACAUGCAAGUCGAGGGGCAGCAGGGUGUAGCAAUACAUGGGCGGCGACCGGCAAACGGGUGCGGAACACGUACAGAACCUUCCUUUAAGCGGGGCAUAGCCCGGGGAAACCCGGAUUAAUACCCCAUAGUAAAUUGGAGAGGCAUCUCUUUGAUUUUAAAGAUUUAUCACUUAAA